GGCUACACACGUGCUACAAUGGGUAGUACAGAGAGUCGCAAAACCGCGAGGUGGAGCUNAUCUCAGAAAACUAUUCUUAGUUCGGAUUGUACUCUGCAACUCGAGUACAUGAAGUUGGAAUCGCUAGUAAUCGCGAAUCAGCAAUGUCGCGGUGAAUACGUUCUCGGGUCUUGUACACACCGCCCGUCACACCACGAGAGUUGGUUGCACCUGAAGUAGCAGGCCUAACCGUAAGGAGGGAUGCUCCGAGGGUGUGAUUAGCGAUUGGGGUGAAGUCGUAACAAGGUAUCCGUACGGGAACGU
rnacentral:rRNA from 1 species